rnacentral:misc_RNA from 1 species
AUCCAAUGAAACCAUUGAUAGCAAUAUUAGGCAAACUGUGUACGUGUUCAUCCGAGUAGUAAUCAAUUACUCAUUAUUGAAUCUUAGAGCGUGCUUGGAUUGUGUUUGAUCUUUGAUAUGUGCAUUUUAUUUCUUAUUGGAUGUAUGCUUAUUCUUAAAGCUCAUUUUAUUACUUUAUCUCUUUGGAGCUACCUCUAUACACAUAGAUCUCAUUGGAGUUCUUAAUGACACAACAGGGCGUAGAGGGAGUUACCAUU